GCGGAAGUAGUUCAGUGGUAGAAUACAACCUUGCCAAGGUUGGGGUCGCGGGUUCGAGCCCCGUCUUCCGCUCCA
rnacentral:tRNA from 19 species